AGAGACUCAGAGAGAGAAGACUGACAGAGACAGACAGAGUCAGAGACAGUCCAGAAAAAAACUGGUCUAGUUUAAGGAACUUGUCUAUGCAGUUGUACGCUUACAAGUCUGGUAUUUGUGUGGCAGAGCAACAGGUGGGAAGCAGAAGCAAGAGUUGAUGAUAAGAAUCUUGAGUAAUGAUUUCUUCUUUUCUCAGAAACCUCAGUGUUUGCUCUAAAGGCUUUCCAAAUGGCUGAGGGAACUCUCUCUCUCUCUCUCUCUCUCACACACACACACACACACACACACACACACACACACUCCUCACUGGGAUGCGUCUCUUCACUGAAAGCCGUCUGACUACAGGUGUUACAAGUACCUUUAGGGAAUCAGCCAGGCCAAUGUUGACACUGCUCCCUGGACAGGUUGUCAUUUAAGAUUCCGCACAUGUGCUGGAUUGGUGCCAUUAUCAUGGUGUGGUUUGGAAGAGGUUCUGUCACUUCAAGCCUGUAACUACACCUUCAUUUGGACUUAUUUUGCUAAGUCUCUUGCUUGCUGUUAUUGUCACCAGAGGAAAAACUAGAAGCCGAGGAUGAGUUGUAAGAAAAGAGGAAUGUGUGGCUCUUCAGAGCACGUGUGAAUGUUUAUCACAGGCUAAGGGAGGAGAAACAAAAACACAGUGAGCUAAAUAGUUGUUGUGUCUGACUUUUCACAUUCGUGGUUUUACUCAAACCUCGCCACAAUCUCGACGGCACAAGGAUCUUGGCGUAAAGGUCUCCCCUCCACUUUUCCAGACAAGGGAAACUGAAAUUUAUGAUCUCAACCCACAGUAGACCACCAACCUCAGGACUUCCAUGCAUCUGACACCAGCAGAGCAAAACAGUCCUAUGAGUCUGGGGAGGAUGAUGAUAGAAUGUGACCUAUGGACACAUGGCAGAUGCAUGCAGAAAACUGGUAUCACCAUAUCUCUUCCUUAAUUCAUCAUCUUGAUCUCAUACUUCAAUUUGAGCAAAAGUUUUGAUAAGUUUUCCUUAACCAGAGGAAAAGAUGCAUCAAUUUCCAAUGCUAGAAGUCUAACCAAGAACCCCAAGCUAAGUCAUUGGAAUCAAAGAGAAGACACCUGGAAAAUCAUGACAUCCUAUUGGCAAGCCAAGCAAGUCUAGAUGCAGCUCCAGGACCACACACAUUUUCAAGAGUCUACCACUGUUAGCAACUACUGCAAGGUUUCCCCUGCUAAGAACUAGGGUCAGUUUGUGUAGUGACUGUCAAUGCUUCAUGAGGAACACGAGACCAAGAUGGCGGCUCUCUGCCUUCCCAAAUCUGUCCAACAUGGCCGCUUGGGGGCGCAACUCUCCCCAACAAGCUCAGAGUGCUUCCUUCAUAAUUGGUCCAUCGGAAUAAGUAGUUUUGUGGUAUGAGAAAGCAGUUCUUCCUCCGCUUUACAUCGGGGGAACAACAAGUCCUGUCAUGGCUGCAAGAAAAGAACAACACGGGAUUGAAACAUCAAGACUUCUUUGGUGAAAUUGAUCACAGAGAGGGGAGGCAGGAGUGGGGACAGUAGACCCUAAUACAACCCAGGGGGAUGGCGAGGUGUUCAUAUGCGAGUGCAUUUUCUCCAGGAUUGGGUUAACAGAAGCUUUGGUGCUAGCAACCUAUAGCAUCCUUGUUUGGCAGGUGCUUUGCGAUUUCUGCAUGUUGAUGGGUCAUCUUGGAACGACGGAAGUAAACAUGUAAACUAAAUUGUGAUAGACGUGCCCUGCAUCACUAGGUGGAACCAGUAGAGAAACCCAGAUGCUGAACCUGCUGGGUUCCUAGGCAUCAGUUAUAACAAACCAGGCUUUUCUCUCCAUCCUAAGGGUCUUCAUGAACAUUGUACCCUCAACUGGAUUAGUGCU
ensembl:processed_transcript Gm10860 predicted gene 10860